rnacentral:rRNA from 1 species
UACGUAGGGUGCAAGCGUUGUCCGGAAUUAUUGGGCGUAAAGAGCUUGUAGGCGGUUUGUCGCGUCUGCUGUGAAAUUUCGGGGCUCAACCCCGAACUUGCAGUGGGUACGGGCAGACUAGAGUGUGGUAGGGGAGACUGGAAUUCCUGGUGUAGCGGUGGAAUGCGCAGAGUAUCAGGAGGAACACCGAUGGCGAAGGCAGGUCUCUGGGACGGUACUGACGCUGAGACGCGAAAGCGUGGGGAGCAAACAGG